GACGAACGCUGGCGGCGUGCUUAACACAUGCAAGUCGAACGGAAAGGCCCUGCUUUUGUGGGGUGCUCGAGUGGCGAACGGAUGAGUAACACGUGAGUAACCUGCCCUUGACUUUGGGAUAACUUCAGGAAACUGGGGCUAAUACCGGAUAGGAGCUCCUGCUGCAUGGUGGGGGUUGGAAAGUUUCGGCGGUUGGGGAUGGACUCGCGGCUUAUCAGCUUGUUGGUGGGGUAGUGGCUUACCAAGGCUUUGACGGGUAGCCGGCCUGAGAGGGUGACCGGCCACAUUGGGACUGAGAUACGGCCCAGACUCCUACGGGAGGCAGCAGUGGGGAAUAUUGCACAAUGGGCGGAAGCCUGAUGCAGCAACGCCGCGUGCGGGAUGACGGCCUUCGGGUUGUAAACCGCUUUCGCCUGUGACGAAGCGUGAGUGACGGUAAUGGGUAAAGAAGCACCGGCUAACUACGUGCCAGCAGCCGCGGUGAUACGUAGGGUGCGAGCGUUGUCCGGAUUUAUUGGGCGUAAAGGGCUCGUAGGUGGUUGAUCGCGUCGGAAGUGUAAUCUUGGGGCUUAACCCUGAGCGUGCUUUCGAUACGGGUUGACUUGAGGAAGGUAGGGGAGAAUGGAAUUCCUGGUGGAGCGGUGGAAUGCGCAGAUAUCAGGAGGAACACCAGUGGCGAAGGCGGUUCUCUGGGCCUUUCCUGACGCUGAGGAGCGAAAGCGUGGGGAGCGAACAGGCUUAGAUACCCUGGUAGUCCACGCUGUAAACGGUGGGUACUAGGUGUGGGGUCCAUUCCACGGGUUCCGUGCCGUAGCUAACGCUUUAAGUACCCCGCCUGGGGAGUACGGCCGCAAGGCUAAAACUCAAAGGAAUUGACGGGGCCCCGCACAAGCGGCGGAGCAUGCGGAUUAAUUCGAUGCAACGCGUAGAACCUUACCUGGGUUUGACAUGGAUCGGGAGCGCUCAGAGAUGGGUGUGCCUCUUUUGGGGUCGGUUCACAGGUGGUGCAUGGCUGUCGUCAGCUCGUGUCGUGAGAUGUUGGGUUAAGUCCCGCAACGAGCGCAACCCUUGUUCACUGUUGCCAGCACGUUAUGGUGGGGACUCAGUGGAGACCGCCGGGGUCAACUCGGAGGAAGGUGGGGAUGACGUCAAGUCAUCAUGCCCCUUAUGUCCAGGGCUUCACGCAUGCUACAAUGGCUGGUACAGAGAGUGGCGAGCCUGUGAGGGUGAGCGAAUCUCGGAAAGCCGGUCUCAGUUCGGAUUGGGGUCUGCAACUCGACCUCAUGAAGUCGGAGUCGCUAGUAAUCGCAGAUCAGCAACGCUGCGGUGAAUACGUUCCCGGG
rnacentral:rRNA from 1 species